AAAUACCAAUUCUCUGCUCAAAGAGGACAUCUCUGGAGCUUCCAGAUUCCAAAACCAACCGAUCCAGAGACCAAACCACCAAAACCGAAAAAAGUAGAGAGUUUUCAAUUGAAAAGCCAAGGAAACGCCCAACUCAAACAGAAAAUACGCAAAUCAAUCCCAAUUUAGCAAAGCUGAGUCACAAAUCUGAGCUCAAUUGGCCAAAUUUUGGACUUUCCAGCUCUCAAACUGAGCUCGCAAUCCGAGGAGUUUUAGGGUUUCAAAGGCUGCUUUGCAGAGAGAGGGAAUAAACGAGAGAGAAGAAAUAGAAAUGAG
rnacentral:misc_RNA from 1 species